UCGAGAAUCUUCGGCAAUGGGCGCAAGCCUGACCGAGCGACGCCGCGUGGAGGAUGAAGGCCUUCGGGUUGUAAACUCCUGUCGAGGGGGAGGAAGGGGCGACCUUGACCGAUCCCUGGAGGACGCACGGGCUAAGUUCGUGCCAGCAGCCGCGGUAAGACGAACCGUGCGAACGUUAUUCGGAAUCACUGGGCUUAAAGCGCGUGUAGGCGGAUGGGUGCGUCGGAACCUGAAAGCCCCCGGCUCAACCGGGGAAGUGGGGCCGAAACGACCCGUCUGGAGGGACGUAGGGGGAUCUGGAACUUCCGGUGGAGCGGUGAAAUGCGUUGAGAUCGGAAGGAACGCCCGUGGCGAAAGCGAGAUCCUGGACGUUUUCUGACGCUGAGACGCGAAAGCUAGGGGAGCAAAC
rnacentral:rRNA from 1 species